UGCAGUCGAGGGGUAUAAGUCUUCGGAUUUAGAGACCGGCGCACGGGUGCGUAACGCGUAUGCAAUCUACCUUUUACAGAGGGAUAGCCCAGAGAAAUUUGGAUUAAUACCUCAUAGUAUUAUAGAAUGGCAUCAUUUUAUAAUUAAAGUCACAACGGUAAAAGAUGAGCAUGCGUCCCAUUAGCUAGUUGGUAAGGUAACGGCUUACCAAGGCUACGAUGGGUAGGGGUCCUGAGAGGGAGAUCCCCCACACUGGUACUGAGACACGGACCAGACUCCUACGGGAGGCAGCAGUGAGGAAUAUUGGACAAUGGGCGCAAGCCUGAUCCAGCCAUGCCGCGUGCAGGAUGACGGUCCUAUGGAUUGUAAACUGCUUUUGUACAGGAAGAAACACUGGUUCGUGAACCAGCUUGACGGUACUGUAAGAAUAAGGAUCGGCUAACUCCGUGCCAGCAGCCGCGGUAAUACGGAGGAUCCAAGCGUUAUCCGGAAUCAUUGGGUUUAAAGGGUCCGUAGGCGGUUUAAUAAGUCAGUGGUGAAAGCCCAUCGCUCAACGGUGGAACGGCCAUUGAUACUGUUAGACUUGAAUUAUUAGGAAGUAACUAGAAUAUGUAGUGUAGCGGUGAAAUGCUUAGAGAUUACAUGGAAUACCAAUUGCGAAGGCAGGUUACUACUAAUUGAUUGACGCUGAUGGACGAAAGCGUGGGUAGCGAACAGGAUU
rnacentral:rRNA from 1 species